GACGAACGCUGGCGGCGUGCCUAAUACAUGCAAGUAGAACGCUGAAGGAGGAGCUUGCUCUUCUGGAUGAGUUGCGAACGGGUGAGUAACGCGUAGGUAACCUGCCUGGUAGCGGGGGAUAACUAUUGGAAACGAUAGCUAAUACCGCAUAACAGUAGAUGUUGCAUGACAUUUGCUUAAAAGGUGCAAUUGCACCACUACCAGAUGGACCUGCGUUGUAUUAGCUAGUUGGUGGGGUAACGGCUCACCAAGGCGACGAUACAUAGCCGACCUGAGAGGGUGAUCGGCCAAACUGGGACUGAGACACGGCCCAGACUCCUACGGGAGGGAGCCGUAGGGAAUCUUCGGCAAUUGACGGAAGUCUGACCGAGCAACGCCGCGGGAGGGAAGAAGGGUUUCGGAUCGUAAAGCUCUGUUGUAAGGGAAGAACGGGUGGGGGAGUUGAAAGGUCACAAUGUGACGGUAUCUUACCAGAAAGGGACGGCUAACUACGUG
rnacentral:rRNA from 1 species